rnacentral:rRNA from 1 species
AUUGAACGCUGGCGGCAGGCUUAACACAUGCAAGUCGAGCGGAGAGAGGUAGCUUGCUACUGAUCUUAGCGGCGGACGGGUGAGUAAUGCUUAGGAAUCUGCCUAUUAGUGGGGGACAACAUUUCGAAAGGAAUGCUAAUACCGCAUACGUCCUACGGGAGAAAGCAGGGGAUCUUCGGACCUUGCGCUAAUAGAUGAGCCUAAGUCGGAUUAGCUAGUUGGUGGGGUGAAGGCCUACCAAGGCGACGAUCUGUAGCGGGUCUGAGAGGAUGAGCCGCCACACUGGGACUGAGACACGGCCCAGACUCCUGCGGGAGGCAGCAGUGGGGAAUAUUGGACAAUGGGCGCAAGCCUGAUCCAGCCAGGCCGCGUGUGUGAAGAAGGCCUUAUGGUUGUAAAGCACUUUAAGCGAGGAGGAGGCUACUUUAGUUAAUACCUAGAGAUAGUGGACGUUACUCGCAGAAUAAGCACCGGCUAACUCUGUGCCAGCAGCCGCCGUAAAAC